CCUACGGGAGGCAGCAGUGAGGAAUAUUGGUCAAUGGGCUUACGCCUGAACCAGCCAAGUCGCGUGAGGGAUGACGGCCCUACGGGUUGUAAACCUCUUUUGCCGGGGAGCAACGGGCGCCACGUGUGGCGCCACUGAGAGUCCCCGGAGAAAAAGCAUCGGCUAACUCCGUGCCAGCAGCCGCGGUAAUACGGAGGAUUCAAGCGUUAUCCGGAUUUAUUGGGUUUAAAGGAUGCGUAGGCGGUCGGUUAAGUUGGUGGUGAAAUCCCGAGGCUCAACUUCGGAAUUGCCUCGGAUACUGUGCGGCUAGAGUGUAGUUGCGGUAGGCGGAAUGUAUGGUGUAGCGGUGACAUGCUUAGAGAUCAUACAGAACACCGAUUGCGAAGGCAGCAUACCGGCGCCCAACUGACGCUGAAGCACGAAGGUGUGGGUAUCGAACAGGAUUAGAUACCCCUGUAGUC
rnacentral:rRNA from 1 species